rnacentral:rRNA from 1 species
UACGGGGGGGGCAAGCGUUGUUCGGAAUUACUGGGCGGAAAGGGCCAGUAGGCGGCCAACUAAGUCGGAUGUGAAAUCCCCAGGCUCAACUUGGGAACUGCAUCCGAUACUGGAUGGCUUGAAUUCGGGAGAGGGAUGCAGAAUUCCAGGUGUAGCGGUGAAAUGCGUAGAUAUCUGGAGGAACACCGGUGGCGAAGGCGGCAUCCUGGACCAACACUGACGCUGAGUGAGCGAAAGCCAGGGGAGCAAACGGG